GAAUGGGCGGUUUGGGAAAGA
rnacentral:miRNA from 1 species